rnacentral:rRNA from 1 species
GACGAACGCUGGCGGCGUGCUUAACACAUGCAAGUCGAACGGAAAGGCCCUGCUUUUGUGGGGUGCUCGAGUGGCGAACGGGUGAGUAACACGUGAGUAACCUGCCCUUGACUUUGGGAUAACUUCAGGAAACUGGGGCUCAUAUCGGAUAUGAGCUCCUGCUGCAUGGUGGGGGUUGGAAAGUUUCGGCGGUUGGGGAUGGACUCGCGGCUUAUCAGCUUGUUGGUGGGGUAGUGGCUUACCAAGGCUUUGACGGGUAGCCGGCCUGAGAGGGUGAACGGGCACAAUGGGACUGAGAUACGGCGCAGACUCGUACGGGAGGCAGCAGUGGGGAAUAUUGCACAAUGGGCGGAAGCCAGAUGCAGCAACGCUGCGUGCGGGAUGACGGCCUUCGGGUUGUAAACCGCUGUCGCCUGUGACGAAGCGUGAGUGACGGUAAUGGGUAAAGAAGCACCGGCUAACUACGUG